UGACGGGAGCCAACCGACCAAUCCGCACACUACGAGCAUGUAAACAUAAGAUAUUAUUUUAUUGCGUCUCGAUACUGCCGUUAGGCAUUUCUAUUCAACGGUUCGGAUCGUUAGGACGCCUGGCGCACUUAUCCCUUGGGAUCACAAGGGUGCCCAGGGAACGCUGUCGAGUGGUCGAGCGCGAUGCCCACGAAGAACAUGGAGAGGCCCCAACCCAGCGACCCAAACAUGCGCUGGCGGCCGUAGUGAUCCGCCUCGUCACCCAGAGUCAGCCAGGGUGAUGGCCGGGCAGCUGAAGAACUCUCCCAGGAUGACCACCAAGAGCAGCAGGAAGAACACCUUCUGCACGUCUGAAGACCGAUACACUAUACUAGAGAAUGGUGGAGAUAACCAGUCCUCUUCUGCACCCUUGAAGUCCUUGAAGUUCACCUGAAAACAUCACACUUAGCUUUAGCUACCUUUAAUAUGACUGCUGGAAAUAUAACCAUAGCUAUCGUGAGGUUUUUGUCAUCUUGAGAUGAUUUCGGGGCUUAGCGUCCCCGCGGCCCGGUCCUCGAACAGGCCUUCUUUUUGUUACACAACACCCCCCCCAGGAAGCAGCCCGUAGCAACUGUCUAAUUCCCAGGUGCAUCAGGGGUGAAAGAAACGUUUUGCCCAUUUGUCUCCGCCUCCUUCGAAGAUCGAACCUGGAACUUCCGAACUCCGAAUCCGAAGCGCUGACCACUCAGCUGAAUGUAAGUGAAGGCUAAAUCAUGAACUUCUUGUCUUAGAGUCUGACAGGCAACUGUUGGACGCCAGUUAGUCGCCAUGGACAUACACAUAGGAUGACCUAAUACCCUCUUAAGCUAAACAAGUUAAUAGGUAUCAACAACGUCGUCAGCAGAUUUGAAUGCAAUCUACUCUGCGGCUGCAGACCUCAGACCUUCAGAGACGGCCUGGGCAUUGGAGCGUCCACACACACGCUCCCUUACACACUCUAGCUAGCUCCUGGCCCGGUGUACAAGAUAUAUAUAUAUUUAUAAUAAAACUAAGGAAAAGCA